UUUGAUCCUGGCUCAGGAUGAACGCUGGCGGUAUGCUUAACACAUGCAAGUCGAACGGGAUGCUUAGGCAUCUAGUGGCGGACGGGUGAGUAACGCGUGAGAAUCUGGCUCCAGGUCGGGGAUAACAGUUGGAAACGACUGCUAAUACCGGAUGUGCCGAGAGGUGAAAGAUUUAUUGCCUGGAGAUGAGCUCGCGUCUGAUUAGCUAGUUGGUGGUGUAAGGGACCACCAAGGCAUCGAUCAGUAGCUGGUCUGAGAGGAUGAUCAGCCACACUGGGACUGAGACACGGCCCAGACUCCUACGGGAGGCAGCAGUGGGGAAUUUUCCGCAAUGGGCGAAAGCCUGACGGAGCAAUACCGCGUGAGGGAGGAAGGCUCUUGGGUCGUAAACCUCUUUUCUCAAGGAAGAAGAAAGUGACGGUACUUGAGGAAUAAGCAUCGGCUAACUCCGUGCCAGCAGCCGCGGUAAUACGGAGGAUGCAAGCGUUAUCCGGAAUGAUUGGGCGUAAAGGGUCUGCAGGUGGAACUGAAAGUCUGCUGUUAAAGAGUUUGGCUUAACCAAAUAAAAGCGGUGGAAACUACAGAACUAGAGUGUGGUAGGGGCAAAAGGAAUUCCUGGUGUAGCGGUGAAAUGCGUAGAUAUCAGGAAGAACACCGGUGGCGAAAGCGUUUUGCUAGACCGUAACUGACACUGAGGGACGAAAGCUAGGGGAGCGAAUGGGAUUAGAUACCCCAGUAGUCCUAGCCGUAAACGAUGGAUACUAGGCGUGGCUUGUAUCGACCCGAGCCGUGCCGGAGCUAACGCGUUAAGUAUCCCGCCUGGGGAGUACGCACGCAAGUGUGAAACUCAAAGGAAUUGACGGGGGCCCGCACAAGCGGUGGAGUAUGUGGUUUAAUUCGAUGCAACGCGAAGAACCUUACCAAGACUUGACAUCCUGCGAAUCCUGGUGAAAGCUGGGAGUGCCUUAGGGAGCGCAGAGACAGGUGGUGCAUGGCUGUCGUCAGCUCGUGUCGUGAGAUGUUGGGUUAAGUCCCGCAACGAGCGCAACCCUCGUUUUUAGUUGCCAGCAUUAAGUUGGGCACUCUAGAGAGACUGCCGGUGACAAACCGGAGGAAGGUGAGGAUGACGUCAAGUCAGCAUGCCCCUUACGUCUUGGGCUACACACGUACUACAAUGCUACGGACAGAGGGCAGCAAGCCAGGGAUGGCAAGCGAAUCCAGAAACCGUAGCUCAGUUCAGAUCGAAGGCUGCAACUCGCCUUCGUGAAGGAGGAAUCGCUAGUAAUUGCAGGUCAGCAUACUGCAGUGAAUUCGUUCCCGGGCCUUGUACACACCGCCCGUCACACCAUGGAAGUUGGUCACGCCCGAAGUCAUUACCCCAACCGAAAGGAGGGGGAUGCCUAAGGUAGGACU
rnacentral:rRNA from 1 species